rnacentral:lncRNA from 1 species
UAGAGAAAUGAGACCUGAAAAAGAUCUUUAAGCAUCAUUAAGUCCAAUUACAUUCUAAGUAGGACAGACUGUUAAAAGACUCUCUUACUCAAGCUUUUUACCGCUUAGCUCCUCUGCACGAGGAUGUGUUAUGUUCCAUUUCUCCAGCUCCCUAGCAGGAUGUUUUGAAACAUGGGAAGAACAGCAAAGGUGAUGUGUUCCAGCUUUCACACAAAGAACAACCUUGCAAAGGUGAUGGAGGAUGGGCUAGCAGUAACAUCCACCAGCUCCCUCAGCACUCAUGGACGCAUUCCAUAUGGGCCCACAGAUUUGCAGGUGUCAAGUUUUGCCCAGAUCUCUGACCUGAUCCUCUUCGAACAAAGAAAAGUCUGCCUUCCUCCAGAUGUCCUCCCUUGUCUCUAGGAUCUGCGAUUCCUGAGGGCUUGUCUUAGCAGUGAAGACUGAAGCAAAGGAGGCAUUUGGUAAUUCCGCCUUCUCUGUAUACCCUGGGAUUCCUCCAGGUACAUCCCCAAAGAGGCCAAAUUUAGCUCUCCCAAAGUCCAGGGUAAUGAUCCUACUUUUUGCCCUGCUUCCUCCUUGCAAGAUCCUGAACUCCACCAUCUCACAGUCACCCAAGGCUGCCCCCAACCUUCACAUCUCCAACCAGCCCUCCUUUUUCUUGUAAGCAUAAGAUCCAGCAGCACACCUCUCCUUGUUGGCUCCUCCACCACCUGUGUCAAAAGGUUGUCAUCAAUGCUGUGCCGGAACCACCUGGACUGUUUGUGCCUACCUGUAUGGUCUUUCCAGCAGACAUCAGGGUGGUUCAGUUUCCCCAUGAGAGCCAGGGCCUGUGAAGAUAAGGCCUCUUUCAUAUGUACUAGAUGAGGGCUAAGCACUUCUGAACAUAACAUCAAAAAUUGAGGAUCAGAAAUCCCACAAACCCUAGCAGCUUCUGCAAGCAAAAAACUCAUAUUUUGCCUCAGCUCCACAUUAUAUAUUCUUCAAAACAGUGAGCAAAGAACCUUACACCAGCAAGAGAAGGGAGUAGCAAAUCACUUAUCAGCUUGGCUUUAAUACCCUUUUCUUUCUCUCAAAUUGAUUCUUAUUCAAAUGCACUAAAGAAAUACAAGGGAAGACACUUUGUUCUCUACACAGGCACACGGCAAAGUCAGUUCCUUUCUUCUGCAUGGGCAGCUCUAGGCCAACUGUUGCUUUUCGAUGUUGGGGAUCAAUCAGUUACAGACAACAGAGACUUUGAACACAGCACAUUUAGUUCUUCAUGCUGACUCAACUACCAUGUUUUUCUCCUGCUGGUCCAUCUGUCUGCUCCUCUGCAUGGCUAUUGAUUAGAGGGAUACUCGACUCUCUCUCUACUCUUUCUAGCACUCUCUUACUCUGUUCAUUUUCACUCCUCUUGCUCACU